rnacentral:lncRNA from 1 species
UAAAAUAGGAAAAGUUUUCUUAAGUAUAGUCUAGUUCGAAUAUAAGUAAGAACUACUUAUUUCAGCAUAUUUGGAUAAAAGUUGGGUUGUUUUCGAGAAUAAAAAAAAUAGUGUUUGAAUAUAUAAGAUGGAAUAAAAAGAAUAGUGAAUAAUUAUAAAUAGGAAAUAAUGAUAUUACCCCUCUCAUUAUACUUAAAUUUAACAUCAAAUUUAAAUUUUAAAAAUAUAAAUAUCAAAUUUUAAAUUUAAAAAAUUUAAAAUUUAAAAUUAUUGAACUUUAAUUUUGAGAUUACAAAUUAUUACUUUUAAAAUUUAAAUUUUUUAUUUUUAUUUUUUAUUUUUUAUUUUUUAUUUUAAAAAUAAAAAUAGGGGUGGGAAUUAACAGCUGUUCCCACCAUUUUAGUAAAUUAUUUAGGGAUAAUAAUUUAAUAUUAAUUAUAUUAAUUAAUAAUUUAAAUAUAUUAAUUAGAUUAAUUAGUAAUCUAAUAUUAUAAUUAAAAUUAAUUAGAAUUUAAUUAAUUUUAUUCUCGUUUAUUUUAAGAAUAGAGAUGGGAUAGCAAUUUUAAAUUUAUAUCGAAUUAUAUCGAUAUAUUUCAGAUAUUUAAAAAUUACUAUUUUUGAAUAAGAAAUUUAUGUUUGGAUAUAAAGAAAGAAUCCAUUUCCGAGUUGCAAGUUUGCAACUGUGUAAGUAUUAUCGUACCUGCCGAACCAAAAGGAUUAUGGGGCGCACCUUUCUCUUUCCUUCGCUUUCUCUUUUCCUUUCAGUGGAUAGAUGUCGCUUUCUGAUAGAUGGAUGGUAUAUAUAGUCCUGUUCCUGUAGUGGUGGAUUACUCAGUUACAAAAUUGGAUAUUUAUUUGUCUAGUAAUUAAAUUGCCUUUACUUGGUUCACAUAUUUAUUUUUUCAUUUGAUAAUUUAGAAAUUACACUUAGUUAUUCUAUAAUUUUAUAUUUAUUUUUUGUUGAAAAUUUUACUAUCCAAUAAGAUAAGAAAGUAAAAAUUUUCGUUAACCACAUAAUACUUAUGUGUAAAUUUUUAAACCAAAUAAUAAUAUAAUAAAAAUGUGCUAAAUUAGUGUAUAGUUAAGUGCAAUUUUUUUAACCAUAGAAUAAUAAUGUAAAAAAUAAGCUAAAUCACAUGACGGUAAAUUGAAGCGUACCCUUCCAAUUAUAGAGAGAUUAAUACUAUAUAUACACAAAAAAUAAGUAUAAGUAUUACAUAUUCUGUUCAAAGAUUUAGACGCUCUUUCUCAAAUUUUGAUAUUGUUAAUAAAAAAAAUAAUUAUAUAUAUAUAUAUAUAUAUAUAUAUAUAUAUGUGUGUGUGUGUGUAGUGUUUGUGUUCGGCUACUAUGUUAUCGGUAGUACGAAUUGCUCGGUUUACUACCGAUUUGUUUUUGAUGAUGUGGCUUCCAAAUCGACGAUCGGUUUCGUUGAACAUGAUUUAGACUAUUUAAAUUAUUUAGAAAUUAAAUUUCAUGAUUUUUUUGACAUCAUUUGACUGAGUGAUCAAAGGAUCUCAAAAUUUAUAAUUUUAAUGGCCGAUGUGGUGUGUUUGUGAGUUUAACGGUGUAGAAGAGUUCAAAUGCGAUUAAAUUUUUGUUAGACAAUUCUUUUCACUAUUUAGAGUAAGAUUAGUAUACUCUAGAUCUUGAAUUUAAAUCUUUUAUCAUUGCUUUUUAUAGGAUUUUUAUUUUCAGCCGUUCAUUUUUCUGUUCACUUGUUUGAUAGGUGAAUGAUAUCGAAAAUUUGUGAAAUUUGGUUUCUAGAUAGUUUCAAUAGUUUAGAUCAUGUUUAAUGGUGCUGUUCGUCGAUUUGGAAGCUCUAUCAUCGGAAACAACUUUGUAGUAAACGGAGCGGUCUGUGCUACUGAUAGUAUUGUAGCCUAGUUCUCUCUCUCUCUCUCUCUUUCUACUGGAAUACUAUUAAUAGUAAAACGCUCUUUUUGCUAUUAAGUUUUUAACCCUUGGAUCAAAAAUUGUAGGGUCAGGAUGAUAUUAGUCGGUUAGAGUUGAGUGGUCCUCCUAGGGUUAAGUGGUCCUCACCGGGUUAUAGUAUUUAAAUCCAAUGGUUAGAAAUAAUGAAAAAAGUUGAUUCAAAGGCUAAAAAAUUGAUAGCAACAAUGAAAUUUUGCUACUAAUAGUAGCCCAGUCCAACUCUAUAUAUAUAUAUAUAUAGAGUCCGGCUACUAUGCUAUUAAUAGUACGAAGCACUUGGUGCUAUCAAGUUUUUCGCCGUUAGAUCUACCCCUUUAAUCAUUUUCACCCGUUAGAUCAUACUAUUCAACCAACCACCCACUCAACCUUAUGGGGCCCACAUCAUCCUAACCGCACAUCUCUUAAUCCAAUAGUCAAAAAUUUAGUAACACCAAUAACUUGGUACUAUUAAUAGCAUNCCAAUACUCAUAAAAAUAUAUAUAUAGAGAGAGAGAGAGAGAGAGAGAGAGUUUUGCUAGAAUGCUAUCAGUAGUAAACGGCUUGGUUUACUACCGAUUUGUUUCCGAUGAUAGAGCUUCCAAAUUGAUGAACAGCACCGUUAAACAUGAUCUAAACUAUUUAAACUAUCUAGAAAUCAAAUUUCACACAUUUUCGAUAUUGUUCUCUUGUCCAUCAAGUGAACAGAAAAAUGAAUGGCUGGAAAUAAAUAUCCUUUAAAAAGCGAUGAUAUAAUUUUUAUAUUUGAGAUCUAGAGUCUAAAUCUUAUUUUAAAUAGUUUAAAGAAUUGUCUAACAAAAAUUUAGUUGAUUUGAACUCUUCUAUACCGUUAAACUUGCAAACGCACCAUAUCGGCCAUUAAAAUUAUAGAUUUUGUGACCUUUGAUCGUUCAGUUAGUGAUGUCAAAAAAAUCAUGAAAUUUGAUUUCUAGAUAAUUUAAAUGGUCUAAAUUAUGUUCAACGACACCGAUCGUCGAUUUGGAAGCUCGAUCAUGAAAAAUAAAUCGGUAGUAAACCGAGCAAUUUACUACCGAUAGUAGCCCAGUCAAACUCUAUAUAUAUAUAUAUAUAUAUAUAUAUAUAUAUAUAUAUAUAUAUAUAGUGGGCUGGUAUGCUUAUGGAAGCACGGAGCCCUCCGUACUUCCAAAUUGUUUUCGAUGCUCGGACUUUCGAAUCGACGAUCGGCUCCGUUAGAGUUGAUCUAGAGUAUUUGAAGUAUCUACAAAAUAAAUUUUGUGAUUUUACGAUAUCAUUUGCCUAGUGAUCAAAGGGGCUCAAAAUCAAUAAUUUUAAUGGCCGUAGUGAGCCGGUUGCAAGUUUAACGGUAUAGAAAUAUCCAAAUCACAUGAAAUUUUGAUAGAAAAUUCUUUAUACCAUAUAAAACAUGAUCAAUAACUUUGAUCUAAAAUUUUAAUGUCAUAUCAUCAUAUUUUAUAAGAUUUUUAUUUUUAGCCGUUGAUUUUGAGCCACUUCGAUCACUAGGCAAAUGAUAUCGGAAAAUCGCUAAAUUUAUUUUCUAUAUACUUCAAAUACUCUAGAUCAAGUCUAAUGGAGCCGAUCGUCGAUUCGAAAGUCCGAACAUCGAAAACAAAGUGAAAGCACGGAGCCCUCCGUGCUUCCAUAAGCAUCCUAGCCGCACUCUAUAUAUAUAUAUAUAUAUAUAUAUAUAGUCCGGCUGCUAUAUUGUCGAUAACACNGUUUAUUUUAAGAAUAGAGAUGGGAUAGCAAUUUUAAAUUUAUAUCGAAUUAUAUCGAUAUAUUUCAGAUAUUUAAAAAUUACUAUUUUUGAAUAAGAAAUUUAUGUUUGGAUAUAAAGAAA